rnacentral:lncRNA from 1 species
UAAGCUCUGCCCUAGAUGGGAGAUCUGGGCUAAUUCUGGUUUUGCAGGUACUUUCUCGUGUAGUAUUGGGUACUUCCAUAUAUGUGACAGGUAUUCAUGAUCCUUGCCAAAGUAUUGGCAAGUCCUACCGCGUCCUGUUGCUAGAGCUUGAGAAGGAGCUUGAGUCACAGGCCUAGGUCUUUUGUUCUACUAAAUUAGUGCAGUAGGUGCUGGUCUGCGAUGUGGAACCGGAGGUAUGAAAUUGUCCACUACUGGAGGAAAGAUUCGAAAAUGCAUCUCUAUUAGCUGUGCCUUGGCCAGAACUGCUGAGUAGGUGCUGAGCUCGAAUACGUAAAGUUAUUGCUUGAUCUUAGGAUAGAGGCCUCACUCAAACUUCCUUGCCUUUCUGCCUUCAUCCAUCAUACUUUUAGGAGAAUACUGGCCUAACUCUAGCAACUUUUAGGCAUACUCAAACACUGUCAUCUCACCUUAGACCAGGUGUGCAAACUCCAUUUCUAUCAAAUACUGAAGAUG